rnacentral:misc_RNA from 1 species
UUAAUUUUCAAUGUUUAAUUUACUUUUCAAGCAAUGAUUUUAUUUUCUGCCAAGCGAUCAUUUACGUUUUCAAUGCACAAAUUUACUUUUCGCAAAUCGAUCAAUUUACUUUUUCUGUCAAACAAUCAAUUUACUUUUCAAGCCACAAUUACUUUUGAAUGCAUAAGCCUCCUGUUAAGUUUUCUCAAGCAAUGAAGUUCUCUUUCAUUCUUACAAAAGUUGAGCAAUUAAAGAUCCCAACGAAGUGCAUCCUAGUGGGGUUAGGGAACCCAAGGGAAGAUUAGGCUAUUUAUUACACAUUAGCCAUUAUGUCAAUUUCAUCUAUUCCAUUUUUGUAAGGUCCUUAGGAAAAGACAUAAGGUUAGCUAUUUGAGGCCCUGAGUCAGCCUUGGUUGUUUUAUGCUUGGUGUUCCUGUCGAUUUCUUACAAGACGCG